rnacentral:rRNA from 1 species
AUUGAACGCUGGCGGCAGGCCUAACACAUGCAAGUCGAGCGAGUGGCGGACGGGUGAGUAAUGUAUGGGAAACUGCCUGAUGGAGGGGGAUAACUACUGGAAACGGUAGCUAAUACCGCAUACCAUCGGAUGUGCCCAGAUGGGAUUAGCUUGUAGGUGGGGUAACGGCUUACCUAGGCGACGAUCCCUAGCUGGUCUGAGAGGAUGACCAGCCACACUGGAACUGAGACACGGCCCAGACUCCUACGGGAGGCAGAAGUGGGGAAUAUUGCACAAUGGGCGCAAGCCUGAUGCAGCCAUGCCGCGUGUAUGAAGAAGGCCUUCGGGUUGUAAAGUACUUUCAGACGGGAGUCGUUACUUGCAGAAGAAGCACCGGCUAACUCCGUGCCAGCAGCCGCGGUAAUUC